AUUGAACGCUGGCGGCAGGCUUAACACAUGCAAGUCGAGCGAGCGGCGGACGGGUUAGUAAUGUCUGGUCAACUGCCUGAUGGAUGUGGAUAACUACUGGAAACGGUAGCUAAUACCGCAUACCAUCAGCUCUGCCCAGAUGGGAUUAGCUAGUAGGUGGGGUAAUGGCUCACCUAGGCGACGCUCCCUAGCUGGUCUGAGAGGAUGACCAGCAACACUGGAACUGAGACACGGUCCAGACUCCUACGGGAGGCAGCAGUGGGGAAUAUUGCACAAUGGGCGCAAGCCUGAUGCAGCCAUGCCGCGUGUGUGAAGAAGGCCUUCGGGUUGUAAAACACUUUCAGCGAGGAGGCGUUACUCGCAGAAGAAGAACCGGCUAACUCCGGGCCAGCAGCCGCGGUAAUAC
rnacentral:rRNA from 1 species